rnacentral:rRNA from 1 species
AGAGUUUGAUCAUGGCUCAGGACGAACGCUGGCGGCGUGCCUAAUACAUGCAAGUAGAACGCUGAAGAGAGGAGCUUGCUCUUCUUGGAUGAGUUGCGAACGGGUGAGUAACGCGUAGGUAACCUGCCUUGUAGCGGGGGAUAACUAUUGGAAACGAUAGCUAAUACCGCAUAACAAUGGAUGACCCAUGUCAUUUAUUUGAAAGGGGCAAAUGCUCCACUACAAGAUGGACCUGCGUUGUAUUAGCUAGUAGGUGAGGUAACGGCUCACCUAGGCGACGAUACAUAGCCGACCUGAGAGGGUGAUCGGCCACACUGGGACUGAGACACGGCCCAGACUCCUACGGGAGGCAGCAGUAGGGAAUCUUCGGCAAUGGGGGCAACCCUGACCGAGCAACGCCGCGUGAGUGAAGAAGGUUUUCGGAUCGUAAAGCUCUGUUGUAAGUCAAGAACGAGUGUGAGAGUGGAAAGUUCACACUGUGACGGUAGCUUACCAGAAAGGGACGGCUAACUACGUGCCAGCAGCCGCGGUAAUACGUAGGUCCCGAGCGUUGUCCGGAUUUAUUGGGCGUAAAGCGAGCGCAGGCGGUUUGAUAAGUCUGAAGUUAAAGGCUGUGGCUCAACCAUAGUUCGCUUUGGAAACUGUCAAACUUGAGUGCAGAAGGGGAGAGUGGAAUUCCAUGUGUAGCGGUGAAAUGCGUAGAUAUAUGGAGGAACACCGGUGGCGAAAGCGGCUCUCUGGUCUGUAACUGACGCUGAGGCUCGAAAGCGUGGGGAGCGAACAGGAUUAGAUACCCUGGUAGUCCACGCCGUAAACGAUGAGUGCUAGGUGUUGGAUCCUUUCCGGGAUUCAGUGCCGCAGCUAACGCAUUAAGCACUCCGCCUGGGGAGUACGACCGCAAGGUUGAAACUCAAAGGAAUUGACGGGGGCCCGCACAAGCGGUGGAGCAUGUGGUUUAAUUCGAAGCAACGCGAAGAACCUUACCAGGUCUUGACAUCCCGAUGCUAUUUCUAGAGAUAGAAAGUUACUUCGGUACAUCGGUGACAGGUGGUGCAUGGUUGUCGUCAGCUCGUGUCGUGAGAUGUUGGGUUAAGUCCCGCAACGAGCGCAACCCCUAUUGUUAGUUGCCAUCAUUCAGUUGGGCACUCUAGCGAGACUGCCGGUAAUAAACCGGAGGAAGGUGGGGAUGACGUCAAAUCAUCAUGCCCCUUAUGACCUGGGCUACACACGUGCUACAAUGGUUGGUACGACGAGUUGCGAGUCGGUGACGGCAAGCUAAUCUCUUAAAGCCAAUCUCAGUUCGGAUUGUAGGCUGCAACUCGCCUACAUGAAGUCGGAAUCGCUAGUAAUCGCGGAUCAGCACGCCGCGGUGAAUACGUCCCCGGGCCUUGUACACACCGCCCGUCACACCACGAGAGUUUGUAACACCCGAAGUCGGUGAGGUAACCUUUUGGAGCCAGCCGCCUAAGGUGGGAUAGAUGAUUGGGGUGAAGUCAUAACAAGGUA